GAUGAAGAACGCAGCGAAAUGCGAUAAGUAGUGUGAAUUGCAGAAUUCAGUGAAUCAUCGAAUCUUUGAACGCACAUUGCGCCCCUUGGUAUUCCAUGGGGCAUGCCUGUUCGAGCGUCAUUUGUACCUUCAAGCUUUGCUUGGUGUUGGGUGUUUGUCCAUUCUCUUGCAGAGGGACUCGCCUUAAAGUAAUUGGCAGCCAGUGUUUUGGUUUUGAAGCGCAGCACAAGUCGCGAUUCAACGCUAUACGCCAGCUUCCACAAGCCUUUUUCACUUUUGACCUCGGAUCAGGUAGGGAUACCCGCUGAACUUGAGCAUAUCAAUAAGCGGAGGA
rnacentral:misc_RNA from 1 species